AAUAUUGCACAAUGGGGGAAACCCUGAUGCAGCGACGCCGCGUGAGCGAAGAAGGCCUUCGGGUCGUAAAGCUCUGUCCUAAGGGAAGAAACGGACGGUACCUUAGGAGGAAGCCCAGGCUAACUCCGUGCCAGCAGCCGCGGUAAUACGUAGGGGGCGAGCGUUAUCCGGAAUUAUUGGGCGUAUAGGGUGCGUAGGCGGCCUUUUAAGUCAGAUGUGAAAGCCCACGGCUUAACCGUGGGACUGCAUUUGAAACUGGAGGGCUUGGGUAUCGGAGAGGGUAGUGGAAUUCCCAGUGUAGCGGUGGAAUGCGUAGAUAUUGGGAGGAACACCAGUGGCGAAGGCGACUACCUGGACGAAAACUGACGCUGAGGCACGAAAGCUAGGGGAGCAAACA
rnacentral:rRNA from 1 species